rnacentral:rRNA from 1 species
GACGAACGCUGGCGGCGUGCCUAAUACAUGCAAGUAGAACGCUGAAGGAGGAGCUUGCUUCUCUGGAUGAGUUGCGAACGGGUGAGUAACGCGUAGGUAACCUGCCUGGUAGUGGGGGAUAACUAUUGGAAACGAUAGCUAAUACCGCAUAAUAGCAGUUGUUGCAUGAUAACUGUUUGAAAGGUGCAAUUGCACCGCUACCAGAUGGACCUGCGUUGUAUUAGCUAGUUGGUGGGGUAACGGCUCAACAAGGCGACGAGACAUAGCCGACCUGAGAGGGGGAUCGGCCAAACUGGGACUGAGACACGGCCCAGACUCCUACGGGAGGCAGCAGUAGGGAAUCUUCGGCAAUGGACGGAAGUCUGACCGAGCAACGCCGCGUGAGUGAAGAAGGUUUUCGGAUCGUAAAGCUCUGUUGUACGAGAAGAACGAGUGUGAGAGUGGAAAGUUCACACUGUGACGGUAUCUUACCAGAAAGGGACGGCUAACUACGUG